rnacentral:rRNA from 1 species
UGGCUAAUCCUGGUCGGACAUCAGGAGGUUAGUGCAAUGGCAUAAGCCAGCUUGACUGCGAGCGUGACGGCGCGAGCAGGUGCGAAAGCAGGUCAUAGUGAUCCGGUGGUUCUGAAUGGAAGGGCCAUCGCUCAACGGAUAAAAGGUACUCCGGGGAUAACAGGCUGAUACCGCCCAAGAGUUCAUAUCGACGGCGGUGUUUGGCACCUCGAUGUCGGCUCAUCACAUCCUGGGGCUGAAGUAGGUCCCAAGGGUAUGGCUGUUCGCCAUUUAAAGUGGUACGCGAGCUGGGUUUAGAACGUCGUGAGACAGUUCGGUCCCUAUCUGCCGUGGGCGCUGGAGAACUGAGGGGGGCUGCUCCUAGUACGAGAGGACCGGAGUGGACGCAUCACUGGUGUUCGGGUUGUCAUGCCAAUGGCACUGCCCGGUAGCUAAAUGCGGAAGAGAUAAGUGCUGAAAGC